rnacentral:rRNA from 1 species
UACGAAGGGGGCUAGCGUUGCUCGGAAUCACUGGGCGUAAAGCGCACGUAGGCGGAUCGUUAAGUCGGGGGUGAAAUCCUGGAGCUCAACUCCAGAACUGCCUUUGAUACUGGCGAUCUUGAGUCCGGGAGAGGUGAGUGGAACUCCGAGUGUAGGGGUGAAAUUCGUAGAUAUUCGGAAGAACACCAGUGGCGAAGGCGGCUCACUGGCCCGGUACUGACGCUGAGGUGCGAAAGCGUGGGGAGCAAACAGG